CAACGGCGGCAGUAACCCUGACUGUCCUAAGGUAGCGAAAUCCCUUGACGUUUAAUUGGCGUCGUUGCAUGAAUGGCUGAACGACUGUCGUGCUGUCUCUAACGUGGAAUCUGUGAAUUUGCACUCUUCGUGCAGAUGCGAAGAUGCUGACAAGGGACGAAGAGACCCUAUGCAGCUUAGCUGGGUGUGAAAAGUUUGUUUAGGAGAGUACAGCGGGUUAUUUUAUCCCCCCCUUGCUACAGGACACUAACUUUGAGGCUCAAGCUUCGCUGGGACGGCGGCUUCCUGAAUAGUAACGGGAGCAAAACAAUGGUACUGCUAAAACUUAAAUGGAAAGUUGUACUUAACUGCAAGAACCACUAUUCGAGCAGAGAUUGUUGGGCGGUUGUUUUUUUACAAUUUCUUAAUGAUG
rnacentral:rRNA from 1 species